ACCACCGGACCCAAAUGAGAACUAGAUAAACCGGCAGCCCCUACUACGGCUACACGUCAGUCUCCACAGAACUCUCCACCAGUGACUAUGUCCAAGAAUGAAGAUGUUACUAUGAGAGCUAAAGUAUACAAGCUGCCUGCAUAUGAGACAUCGUCAGACACUUCCCAGGACAACUCGCAAAAGGAAAGUGAUGUGGAUAAAUCUAAGACCAAGUCAUCAAAAUCUUAGUUUUUAAGUUUAAAUUGUAUGGGGUACAUACCUGUAUUUUAGGCAUCUUACAGCUUAAAAAUAGAUUUUCUAUAUUUAACAAUAAAAUAAUUAGUUGUUAUAAAUUAAUUGUUACAUAUAAAAAUACAUAUGAAACAACUUCCACCAAGACCUCUGUUUCAUUGUAAGUUUUACUCUUAAGCCAGAAUUUGACGUUCUUUUUACUUUCUAUUUUAUUCAUGGCGAAAUAAUGCGUAGUUUAAUUCAAUUUAAAGUAAAGGAUUGCACCUAGAAAGCAAAAGAAUCUAUGCGACUUUUCUGGGUUUUGAUAUUUUAGCACUGCGACUGAUAGAGCAGUUAUACACGGCGAUGCACGUAUUAAUGA